rnacentral:misc_RNA from 1 species
GAUGAAGAACGCAGCGAAAUGCGAUAAGUAAUGUGAAUUGCAGAAUUCAGUGAAUCAUCGAAUCUUUGAACGCACAUUGCGCCCGCCAGUAUUCUGGCGGGCAUGCCUGUUCGAGCGUCAUUACAACCCUCAGGCCCCCGGGCCUGGCGUUGGGGAUCGGCGGAAGCCCCCUGCGGGCACAACGCCGUCCCCCAAAUACAGUGGCGGUCCCGCCGCAGCUUCCAUUGCGUAGUAGCUAACACCUCGCAACUGGAGAGCGGCGCGGCCACGCCGUAAAACACCCAACUUCUGAAUGUUGACCUCGAAUCAGGUAUGAAUACCCGCUGAACUUAAGCAUAUCAAUAAGCGGAGGA